CAUUUUUCCAUUAUGAAGAAUCUUUUGUGGAAUGGAUAGCCUCCACGGAUGAUAAAUGCUCUUCAUUGAACCAUUUUUAUUUAUAAGCUAUAUGCAAAGACAUCCCUAAAGGUCCCUAAUAAGGCAGACAGGUGUUUGUUAUUAAGAGAAAUGAAGUCUGUGGAAAAUGGAAAUGUGAAGACAUCACUCACUCGCUCUCUCUCAGAGCUUCCUCUCCAGCUGCUGCGAUCUUCCUGUAACAGUAGACCAUCUCCACCAACAGCCACAACUGCAGACCGAUAAUGGACACGUACAUCAUGAUCUCGGAUAAGAUGGACGCCAUGCCUCGUGUAGCUGGGGGUUUCAGCACUGUCAGUAUUAUGUAAGAUCUCACAAUUUACAUCAGUGCUGAUGUGGGCCUGACUCAGCCUCUGACAGGAAGUUAAAGACACUUCUAGUUGAACAAUCCCUGUCAGCAGAUAUGACAUGAUGGCUUUGUCCAAGUGGACAGACAUGCUCUUUCAUGGACAUGUGGCCCUUCAGAUUCCUCGGAAGCUGAUUUUGAAAAAUUACAAUUUGAUUUGAUGAUUGUCUGUCUAUUUUACAUUGUAUUAAAAGGGAAAGUGUUUGUCCAAAAUACUCUACAUCAUCUAGAUUUUCCCCUAUAAAACACAAAAUGAGAUAU